rnacentral:rRNA from 1 species
CUUGUCGGGUAAGUUCCGACCCGCACGAAAGGCGUAACGAUUUGGGCACUGUCUCAACGAGAGACUCGGUGAAAUCAUAGUACCUGUGAAGAUGCAGGUUACCCGCGACAGGACGGAAAGACCCCGUGGAGCUUUACUGUAGCCUGAUAUUGAAAUUCGGCACAGCUUGUACAGGAUAGGUAGGAGCCUUUGAAACGUGAGCGCUAGCUUACGUGGAGGCGUUGGUGGGAUACUACCCU